AGAUUACAUUAAUUUACAUAAUCAAAACCAUUAUAGCUACAGGGAUUUCAGUCCUUUUGUUUAAUAUCUGCUUUGUCAUUGGACAUGUGUAAUACAAUUUCACUUAAAACAUUAUCAUCAUGUUGCAGAAGUAACAGAUAUUUCAGAUUUUAAAAUGAACAGUUCUGGAUUAUUCGCCAAUCUACGGCAGGCUUAGAGCUGGCUUGACAAAGUACUGUGCCAUAAUAAAUAUUAUGUAUUUUUGUUGUUGUUAGAAGCCUUCACUCCUACUCCCAGCAAACUUCAGAGAGCAUUGCUGAUCAUCAUUGUUUGCCACACUAUUAUUGCAAUUUGCUGUUAGUCCUUUACCAGAGAAACUUCAAUCUUGGUAUAAAGAAUACAACCAGUGCAAUGAAUGCACCACAGGAGAACACUGAGAUAUUAAGAAAUAUUAGAUUACUUCACCCCUUAUUUUUUCUUUUAAAUCAAUACAAAUUUAUUAAAACACCUUUCUUCUAACACCAGAACAGACCCAUAGCUGUAGCCUAUCCUCCUCCUGUGAAGUCGGUGAUUCUGAUUACUUUUAUCCAAUCAGACGCUUCUCACAGUGACAAAUUGAGGACUUGUGCCAAUUGUCGCAAUCCAUUAAUCAGUGCUUCUCAUAGAGAAGCCUUUAUUCCAAAGCAUUAGACGUGUUCAGUGUCAUCAUGCUGUGGGACCAUAACGGGCAUGUUUUCAUACAAAUGUUCUUAGAAACAACACUGUUUUACUUUGCACCAAAAGCCACUACAUUAGGAUGUAGUGGUUUUGGUGCUUAGAGUGUCUUUUAAAUACAAUAUUUUUUUUAAUUUUCAUGUUGUGGGCAAGGAUUUAAAUUCAUGGUUACAACUAUAUAAUUGUGAUUGCAAAAUUCUUGUCUAUGACAAAUGAAAUAUAGAAUAAUUAUGUCUAUCUUAAAGUGUUUCUCCGUAAACUAUUGUUUGUGCUGCUUCUGGAAACAAAAUCAGUAUAGAUAAGAUACAUAAAAUCUGCUCUACAGAAAGGUUGCCAAGAAACCCAAGUUAUCUCUGCAGGCAGUUAAUGUGUUGUCUGUGAUACAGUUGCCAAUAGUAACAUGAUGGUAAAUCCAGCAGCCAAUAGGAGUGUGAGGAUGAUUGAUGUAUAUCUUAGGAAGCUUUUAGAGCUUCAGUGGAUUCUUACAGCUGACCCUUUUCCAAUUAAAACAUAUUGCAUUAGCUUGUUGUUGAAGUGGAUAAGAAUAACUAAGAAAAACAUGCAAUAUGUGUUUGUUAAAUUGGUUUUCUUUUUCUAGAAAAAUGCUAAUGGAUACUAUAUUAUUUGUUUCCUCUUAAAUAAAGCAAAUGAAAAAAUGUUGCAUGUUGCAGAAUUACUAGAACAUAAAGUAUUACUUUGCUAUAGUCCAUAAAUCAUCCUUUAAGACUCAGUUUGUUCAUUUACAGUUCAAUAAACCCAUGUAUUGAGCAUCAUGGUUUAAAGUAACUUAAUAUGUAUAUUUUAACUAUGUGUUGAAUACCUGCUUAAUUAUUAACUCUUUUAGGUUUCCGGUAAUCUGUGAUUGUUCUUUUCUACAAGGAUGAGAACAUCUUUUGUAUGAUUACAAGUUACCUAUUGUUUGUGAUUUCUGGUAAAUCACCGACAUUUGUAAAAAAUAUAUUUGGUUUAAAAUGGGACUAUUGCUCUUAAUCUCAUUUAUGUGUUUAAGUUUGCCAAAACAGAUCAGCUUGCACCAUAUGAAAAGGAGGGAUUAUCAUUUUUGUCUUGUGACUAGUGGUUAAAGGAGAACUCUGUUCUGGACCCUGGUGAAAUAAGAUAGGCAAUAACUAUUUCAAAAAACAUAGUAUACAGAUAGAAAAACAAAAGUACAAGCUAUAAAACAUUCUGAUAACUAACUUGUGGUGCUGUAAACUGCAUUGGUGACAGGUCUACCUGAAAUCAUGUCAUAUAUAGGAUUGAAGAAAAAGAAACCACUGUAGACACAUUUGAUUAUAGUCUUCCAAUCAGUUAUUCUGUACAAAAUUUUGUGUCUAUUGUUUUGCACCUCUUCUGGUUUAUAUGUUUCCCUAAUAUGUGUAAUACAUAACAUUUUCUCUCUGAAAAGUUAAAUAUGACUCUGAAAGAAAAGAUGCACUCUUUGUGGCUCAAUAUUCUGGUUCCCCCAUAUUCUAUACAAGUAUGAAUGUAUUUUCUAUUAUAUGAAUUGUUGAAGUUAGACUAGUAUCCACAACUUAUAACACUGCUGGCAAAAUCAUCUCCACAUUUUUAGCUUAAAGGAAUACUCUAAGGAUCAUAACCACUACUGCUUAAUUUAGUGGCUAUUGCUCCAGAAGUGUAUUGGUCUUGUCACAUGGUACAUAGAAACAUAGAAACAUAGAAUGUGACGGCAGAUAAGAACCAUUCGGCCCAUCUAGUCUGCCCAAUUUUCUAAAAACUUUCAUUAGUCCCUAGCCUUAUCUUAUAGUUAGGAUAGCCUUAUGCCUAUCCCAUGCAUGCUUAAACUCCUUUACUGUGUUAACCUCUACCACUUCAGCUGGAAGGCUAUUCCAUGCAUCCACUACCCUCUCAGUAAAGUAAUACUUCCUGAUAUUAUUUUUAAACCUUUGUCCCUCUAAUUUAAGACUAUGUCCUCUUGUUGUGGUAGUUUUUCUUCUUUUAAAUAUAGUCUCCUCCUUUACUGUGUUGAUUCCCUUUAUAUAUUUAAAUGUUUCUAUCAUAUCCCCCCUGUACGAUGACAGACCAUUUUAUCACACAGGUUUAUUUGCUAAAUUGUUCAUUCGAAGUGAGCUGAAAGUGAAUUUCAAAUUUAAGAUCAAAAUAGCUGAAUUGGAAAAUGUCUCUAUAUCAGCUCUGCUUUCACUUCAGCAACUCUAGCCUUACAUUUGAAAUAUGUGCAUCAGCUCUUCCCCCCCAAGCAGCUAUGAGUGACGUCACCAGAGAAGGAUCAGGAUGCAGGGAGAACUUUGUCUCAGCACUGGAACAGAAGUAAGUUUAUGCUUUUUAAAAAAAACUAAACAAAAAAACUUUGAACGGGAAAAACCAGGAUAGGAAGGGUUACUCUAACUAAAACAAAUUUUUUUCAUAAAGAAAAUGUUUUUUUCGUUGAAUGGUUGGAGUAAAUGGACCUUUAAUAAUCUCCAAACGCCAUUUACUAAUUUUCUUUAUAUCUUCGCACAAUAACAAAGAAAACAGCAUUCAACAUUACCAGAGUUAUUCACUAAAGUGAGAAUUGAAUGUGGAUUUCAAACGUAAGGCCAAAGUAGCUGAAUUGGAAACACAGUUGAGUCAGUGGCAAAGCUGGAGGGGGAGGUCCGCCCCAUACAGCAAUUUACAGGACUGAGCCGAACAUGCUCCAGAGCUGUUGGGCUGGAUGGAAGUGCUGACCACGCUGCAUGAAUUGACUGGCAGGAGAGGAGCGAUGUGCAUUCCCCUCCUGCCAGUCAUUUGGACAUUGUGUACCUCAGGUGGUGUGCCCUAAUGCCC
rnacentral:lncRNA from 1 species